rnacentral:rRNA from 1 species
GGUUAAGCGACUAAGCGUACACGGUGGAUGCCCUGGCAGUCAGAGGCGAUGAAGGACGUGCUAAUCUGCGAUAAGCGUCGGUAAGGUGAUAUGAACCGUUAUAACCGGCGAUUUCCGAAUGGGGAAACCCAGUGUGUUUCGACACACUAUCAUUAACUGAAUCCAUAGGUUAAUGAGGCGAACCGGGGGAACUGAAACAUCUAAGUACCCCGAGGAAAAGAAAUCAACCGAGAUUCCCCCAGUAGCGGCGAGCGAACGGGGAGGAGCCCAGAGUCUGAAUCAGUGUGUGUGUUAGUGGAAGCGUCUGGAAAGGCGCGCGAUACAGGGUGACAGCCCCGUACACAAAAAUGCACAUACUGUGAGCUCGAUGAGUAGGGCGGGACACGUGGUAUCCUGUCUGAAUAUGGGGGGACCAUCCUCCAAGGCUAAAUACUCCUGACUGACCGAUAGUGAACCAGUACCGUGAGGGAAAGGCGAAAAGAACCCCGGCGAGGGGAGUGAAAAAGAACCUGAAACCGUGUACGUACAAGCAGUGGGAGCCUCUUUUAUGGGGUGACUGCGUACCUUUUGUAUAAUGGGUCAGCGACUUAUAUUCUGUAGCAAGGUUAACCGAAUAGGGGAGCCGAAGGGAAACCGAGUCUUAACUGGGCGUUAAGUUGCAGGGUAUAGACCCGAAACCCGGUGAUCUAGCCAUGGGCAGGUUGAAGGUUGGGUAACACUAACUGGAGGACCGAACCGACUAAUGUUGAAAAAUUAGCGGAUGACUUGUGGCUGGGGGUGAAAGGCCAAUCAAACCGGGAGAUAGCUGGUUCUCCCCGAAAGCUAUUUAGGUAGCGCCUCGUGAAUUCAUCUCCGGGGGUAGAGCACUGUUUCGGCAAGGGGGUCAUCCCGACUUACCAACCCGAUGCAAACUGCGAAUACCGGAGAAUGUUAUCACGGGAGACACACGGCGGGUGCUAACGUCCGUCGUGAAGAGGGAAACAACCCAGACCGCCAGCUAAGGUCCCAAAGUCAUGGUUAAGUGGGAAACGAUGUGGGAAGGCCCAGACAGCCAGGAUGUUGGCUUAGAAGCAGCCAUCAUUUAAAGAAAGCGUAAUAGCUCACUGGUCGAGUCGGCCUGCGCGGAAGAUGUAACGGGGCUAAACCAUGCACCGAAGCUGCGGCAGCGACGCUUAUGCGUUGUUGGGUAGGGGAGCGUUCUGUAAGCCUGUGAAGGUGUGCUGUGAGGCAUGCUGGAGGUAUCAGAAGUGCGAAUGCUGACAUAAGUAACGAUAAAGCGGGUGAAAAGCCCGCUCGCCGGAAGACCAAGGGUUCCUGUCCAACGUUAAUCGGGGCAGGGUGAGUCGACCCCUAAGGCGAGGCCGAAAGGCGUAGUCGAUGGGAAACAGGUUAAUAUUCCUGUACUUGGUGUUACUGCGAAGGGGGGACGGAGAAGGCUAUGUUGGCCGGGCGACGGUUGUCCCGGUUUAAGCGUGUAGGCUGGUUUUCCAGGCAAAUCCGGAAAAUCAAGGCUGAGGCGUGAUGACGAGGCACUACGGUGCUGAAGCAACAAAUGCCCUGCUUCCAGGAAAAGCCUCUAAGCAUCAGGUAACAUCAAAUCGUACCCCAAACCGACACAGGUGGUCAGGUAGAGAAUACCAAGGCGCUUGAGAGAACUCGGGUGAAGGAACUAGGCAAAAUGGUGCCGUAACUUCGGGAGAAGGCACGCUGAUAUGUAGGUGAAGUCCCUUGCGGAUGGAGCUGAAAUCAGUCGAAGAUACCAGCUGGCUGCAACUGUUUAUUAAAAACACAGCACUGUGCAAACACGAAAGUGGACGUAUACGGUGUGACGCCUGCCCGGUGCCGGAAGGUUAAUUGAUGGGGUCAGCGCAAGCGAAGCUCUUGAUCGAAGCCCCGGUAAACGGCGGCCGUAACUAUAACGGUCCUAAGGUAGCGAAAUUCCUUGUCGGGUAAGUUCCGACCUGCACGAAUGGCGUAAUGAUGGCCAGGCUGUCUCCACCCGAGACUCAGUGAAAUUGAACUCGCUGUGAAGAUGCAGUGUACCCGCGGCAAGACGGAAAGACCCCGUGAACCUUUACUAUAGCUUGACACUGAACAUUGAGCCUUGAUGUGUAGGAUAGGUGGGAGGCUUUGAAGUGUGGACGCCAGUCUGCAUGGAGCCGACCUUGAAAUACCACCCUUUAAUGUUUGAUGUUCUAACGUUGGCCCCUAAUCGGGGUUGCGGACAGUGUCUGGUGGGUAGUUUGACUGGGGCGGUCUCCUCCUAAAGAGUAACGGAGGAGCACGAAGGUUGGCUAAUCCUGGUCGGACAUCAGGAGGUUAGUGCAAUGGCAUAAGCCAGCUUGACUGCGAGCGUGACGGCGCGAGCAGGUGCGAAAGCAGGUCAUAGUGAUCCGGUGGUUCUGAAUGGAAGGGCCAUCGCUCAACGGAUAAAAGGUACUCCGGGGAUAACAGGCUGAUACCGCCCAAGAGUUCAUAUCGACGGCGGUGUUUGGCACCUCGAUGUCGGCUCAUCACAUCCUGGGGCUGAAGUAGGUCCCAAGGGUAUGGCUGUUCGCCAUUUAAAGUGGUACGCGAGCUGGGUUUAGAACGUCGUGAGACAGUUCGGUCCCUAUCUGCCGUGGGCGCUGGAGAACUGAGGGGGGCUGCUCCUAGUACGAGAGGACCGGAGUGGACGCAUCACUGGUGUUCGGGUUGUCAUGCCAAUGGCACUGCCCGGUAGCUAAAUGCGGAAGAGAUAAGUGCUGAAAGCAUCUAAGCACGAAACUUGCCCCGAGAUGAGUUCUCCCUGACUCCUUGAGAGUCCUGAAGGAACGUUGAAGACGACGACGUUGAUAGGCCGGGUGUGUAAGCGCAGCGAUGCGUUGAGCUAACCGGUACUAAUGAACCGUGAGGCUUAACCUU